AACGAACGCUGGCGGCAUGCCUAACACAUGCAAGUCGAACGAGACCUUCGGGUCUAGUGGCGCACGGGUGCGUAACGCGUGGUAACCUGCCCUUAGGUUCGGAAUAACUCCCCGAAAGGGGUGCUAAUACCGGAUAAUGUCUUCGGACCAAAGAUUUAUCGCCUUUGGAUGGGCCCGCGUUGGAUUAGCUAGUUGGUAGGGUAAAAGCCUACCAAGGCGACGAUCCAUAGCUGGUCUGAGAGGAUGAUCAGCCACACUGGGACUGAGACACGGCCCAGACUCCUACGGGAGGCAGCAGUGGGGAAUAUUGGACAAUGGGCGAAAGCCUGAUCCAGCAAUGCCGCGAGAGUGAUGAAGGCCUUAGGGUUGUAAAGCUCUUUUACCCGGGAUGAUAAUGACAGUACCGGGAGAAUAAGCUCCGGCUACCUCCGU
rnacentral:rRNA from 1 species